CUACGGGUUGCUGCAGUGGGGAAUAUUGCACAAUGGGCGCAAGCCUGAUGCAGCAACGCCGCGUGAGGGACGAAGGCCUUCGGGUUGUAAACCUCUUUUAGCAGGGAAGAAGCGAAAGUGACGGUACCUGCAGAAAAAGCACCGGCUAACUACGUGCCAGCAGCCGCGGUAAUACGUAGGGUGCAAGCGUUGUCCGGAAUUAUUGGGCGUAAAGAGCUCGUAGGCGGUUUGUCACGUCUGCUGUGAAAUUUCGAGGCUCAACCUCGAACUUGCAGGGGGUACGGGCAGGCUAGAGUGCGGUAGGGGAGAUGGGAAUUCCUGGUGUAGCGGUGGAAUGCGCAGAUAUCGGGAGGAACACCAAUGGCGAAGGCACAUCUCUGGGCCGUAACUGACGCUGAGGAGCGAAAGCGUGGGGAGCAAACAGGAUUAGAUACCCUUGUAGUC
rnacentral:rRNA from 1 species